ACUUGAGGUUGUGGAAAAACGUUAAACUUGAGAUUUGGGUGUUGAUUGAACUUGAGUUUGUUUCGUGUUUGAUCUUGAGGUUGUGGUGUUUUUGAACUUGAGGUUUUUUCUUGUUUGUUUAACUUGAGUUUGUGUGUUUGUUGAACUUGAGUUUGUGUUAUGUUUGAACUUGAGUUUGUGUUCGUGUAUGAACUUGAGUUUGUGUGUGUUUUUGAACUUGAGUUUUUGGUGUUUUUGAACUUGAGGGUGUGGAAUUUGUUAAACUUGAGAAUUGGGUAUUGGUUGAAUUUGAGUUUGUGUGUUUGUUGAACUUGAGUUUGUAUCAUGUUUGAACUUGAGUUUGUGGUCUUUUUGAACUUGAGUUUGUGUGUUUGUUGAACUCUAGGUUGUGGCAAUUGUUAAACUUGAGAUUUGGUUGUUGGUUGAACUUGAGUUUGUGUUGUGUUUGAACUUGAGUUCGUGUUGUUUGUUGAACUUGAAUUUGUGUGUUUUUUGAACUUAAUUUUUUUGAACUUGAGUUUGUGGCAAUUGUUGAACUUGAGUCUGUGGUUUUUGGUGAACUUUAAUUGGUGGCAAUUGUUGAACUUGAGUUUGUGGUGUUUUUGAACUUGAGUUUGUUUCGUGUUUGAACUUUGUUUGUGGUGUUUUUGAACUUGGGUUUUUGGUGUUUUUGAACUUGAGGGUGUGUUGUGUUUUUGAACUUGAGUUUGUGGUGUUUUUGAACUUGAGGUUGUUUCGUGUUUGAACUUGAGUUUGUGGCGUUUGUUGAACUCUAGGUUGUGGCAAUUGUUGAACUUGAGAUUUGGGUGUUGGUUCAACUUAAAAGUUUGGCAUUUGUUGAACUUGAGUUUGUGUGUUUGUUGAACUUAAGUUUGUGUCUUGUUUGAACUUGAGUUUGUGGUGUUUUCAAACUUGAGUUUGUGUGUUUUUUGAACUUUAGUUUUUGGUGUCUGAACUUGAGUUUGUGGUGUUUUUGAACUUGAGUUUGAAUCGUGGUUGAACUUGAGUUUGUGGUGUUUUUGAACUUGAGAGUGUGUUGUGUUUUUGAACUUGAGGUUGUGGUGUUUUUGAACUUGAGUUUGUUUCGUGUUUGAACUUGAGUUUGUGGCGUUUGUUGAACUCUAGGUUGUGGCAAUUGUUGAACUUGAGAUUUGGGUGUUGGUUCAACUUAAAAGUUUGGCAUUUGUUGAACUUGAGUUUGUGUGUUUGUUGAACUUAAGUUUGUGUCUUGUUUGAACUUGAGUUUGUGGUGUUUUCAAACUUGAGUUUGUGUGUUUUUUGAACUUGAGGUGUUGGAAAUUGUGAAACUUGAGAAUUGGGUAUUGGUUGAACUUGAGUUUGUGUGUUUGUUGAACAAGAGAUUGUGUUGUGUUUUAACUUCAGUUUGUGGCGUUUUUUAAGCUUGAGGUUGUGGUGUUUUUGAACUUGAGUUUGUGGUGUUUUGUACUUGAGUUUGUGUUAUUUUUCAACUUGAGGUUGUGGAACUUGUUAAACUUGAGAAUCAGGUGUUGAUUGAACUUGAGUAUUUGUUUUUUUUAACUUGAGUUUGUGUCGUGUUUGAGCUCGAGUUUGUGGUGUUUUUGAAUUUGAGUUUGCGUGUUUGUUAAACUUGAGUUUGUGUCGUGUUUUAAAUUGAGUUUGUUGUUUCUGAACUUGAGUUUGUGGCAAUUGUUGAACUUGAGUUUGACAUUUGUUGAACUUGGGUUUGUGUUUUUUGUUGAACUUGAGUUUGUGGUGUUUUUGAACUUGAGGUUGUGGAAUUUGUUAAACUUGAGAAUUGGGUAUUGGUUGAAAUUGAGUUUGUGUGUUUGUUGAACUUGAGUUUGUGUCGUGUUUGAACUUCGGUUUGUGGUGUUUUUUGAGCUUGAGGUUGUGGUGUUUCUGAACUUGAGUUUGUGUUGCUUUUGAAGUUUAGGUUGUGGCAAUUUCUAAAAUUGAGAUUUGGGUGUUGGUUGAACUUAAAAGUUUGUCAUUUGUUGAACUUCAGUUUGUGGAAAUUGUUAAAAUUGAGGAUUGGGUGUUGGUUGAACUUGAGUUUGUGGUGUUUGUUGAACUUGAGUUUGUGAGGUGUUUGAACUUGAGUUUGUGGUGUUUUUGAACUUGAGUUUUUGGUGUUCGUUGAACUCGAGUUUGUGUCGUGUUUGAACUUGAGUUUGUGGCGUUUUUGAACUUUAGGUUGUUGCAAUUGUGAAACUUGAGUUUUGGGUGUUGGUUGAACUUAAAAUUUUGACAUUUGUUGAACUUGAAUUUGUGGUGUUUGUUGAACUUUUGUUUGUGUCAUGUUUGAACUUGAGUUUAUGGUGUUUUUGAACUUGAGGUUGUGGUGUUUUUGAACUUGAGUUUGUGGCGUGUUUGAACUUGAGGUUGUUGCAAUUGUUAAAUUGAGAUUUUGGUGUUGGUUGAACUUAAAACUUUGACAUUUGUUGAACUUGAGUUUGAGCUGUUUGUUUAACAUUAGUUUGUGUCAUUUUUGUACUUGAGUUUGUUGUGUUUUUGAACUUGAGUUUGUGGAAAUUGUUAAACUUGAGAAUCGGGUGUUGGUUCAACUUGGUUUUCUGUUGUUUUUGAACUUGAGGUUGUGGAAAUUGUUAAACUUGAGAAUCAGGUGUUGGUUGAAGUUGAGUUUGUGUGUUUGUUGAACUUGAGUUUGUGUCGUGUUCGAACUUGAGUUUGUGGUAUUUUUGAACUUGAGUUUGUGUGUUUGUUGAUCUUGAGGUUAUGGAAAUUGUUAAACCCCAAAAUUGGGUAUUGGUUGAACUUGAGUUUGUGUUGUUUUUGAACUUGAGUUUGUGUAGUGUUUGAACUUGAGUUUGUGGUGUUUUUUGAGCUUGAGGUUGUGGUGUUUUUGAGCUUGAGAUUGUGGCGUGUUUGAACUUGAGUUUGUGGUGGUUUUUGAACUUGAGGUUGUGAAAAUUGUUAAAACUUGAGAAUCAGGUGUUGGUUGAACUUGAGUUUGUGGUUUUUUUUUAGCUUGAGUUUGUGGUUUUUGUUGAACUUGAGUUUUUGUCAUUUUUGAGCUUGAGGUUUUGGUGUUUUUAAACUUGAGUUUGCGUGUUUGUUUAACUCGAGUUUGUGUGUUUUUUUAACUUGAGUUUGUUGUUUCUGAACUUGAGGUUUUGGCAAUUGUUGAACUUGAGUCUGUUGUUUUUAGUGAACUUUAGUUGGUGGCAAUUGUUGAACUUGAGUUUGUGGCAUUUGUUAAACUUGAGUUUGUGACGUGUUUAAACAUGAUUUUGUGGUGUUUUUGAACUCGAGUUUGUGGUUUUUUUUUAACUUGAGGUUGUGGAAAUUGUUAAACUUGAGAAUUGGGUAUUGGUUGAACUUGAGUUUGUGUUUUUUUUUAACUUGAGUUUGUGUCAUGUUUGAACUUCAGUUUGUGGGGUUUUUGAACUCGAGUCUUUGUGUUUGUUGAACUUCAGUUUGUGUCGUGUUUGAACUUGAGUUUGUGGUGUUUUUUGAACUUGAGGUUGUGUGUUUUUUUUAACUUGAGUUUGUGGCGGUUUUUGAACUUGAGGUUGUGGCAAUUGUUGAACUUGAGUUUGUGACGUGUUUGAACUUGAUUUUGUGGUGUUUUUGAACUUGAGUUUGUGGUGUUUUUUAACUUGAGUUCGUGGUGUUUGUGGAAUUUGAGUUUGUGUCGUUUGAACUUGAGGUUGUGUUGUUUUUGAACUCGAGUUUUUGUGUUUGUUGAACUUCAGUUUGUGUCGUGUUUGAACUUGAGUUUGUGGUGUUUUUUGAACUUGAGGUUGUGGUGUUUUUGACUUGAGUUCGUGGCGUGUUUGAACUUGAGGUUGUUGCAAUUGUUAAACUUGAGAUUUGGGUGUUGGUUGAACAUAAAACUUUGCCAUUUGUUGAACUUGAGUUAGUGGUGUAUGUUGAACUCCAGCUUGUGUUGUGUUUGAACUUGAGGUCGUGGUAUUUUUGAAUUGAGUUUGUGGAGGUUUUUGAACUUGAGUUUGUGGCGUGUUUGAACUUGAGAUUGUGGCGUGUUUGAACUUGAGUUUGUGGUGGUUUUUGAACUUGAGGUUGUGAAAAUUGUUAAAACUUGAGAAUCAGGUGUUGGUUGAACUUGAGUUUGUGGUUUUUGUUGAACUUGAUUUUGUGCUUUGAUUGAACUUUAGUUUAUGUUUUUUUUUUGUACUUGAGUUUGUGUUGUUUUUGAACUUGAGGUUGUGGAAAUUGUAAAAACUUGAGAAUCAGGUGUUGGUUGAACUUGAGUUUGUGUGUUUUUGUAACUUGAGUUUGUUGUUUCUGAACUUGAGGUUUUGGCAAUUGUUGAACUUGAUAAUUGGGUAUUGGUUGAACUUGAGUUUGUGUGUUUGUUGAACUUGAGUUUGUGUCGUGUUUGAACUUCAGUUUGUGGUGUUUUUUGAACUUGAGGUUGUGGUGUUUUUGAACUUGAGUUUUUGGUGUUUUUGAACUUGAGGUUGUGGCAAUUGUUGAAUUUAAGUUUGUGACGUGUUUGAACUUGAUUUUGUGGUGUUUUUGAACUCGAGUUUGUUUUGUUUUUGAACUUGAGUUUGUGGUGUUUGUUGAACUUGAGUUUGUGUCGUGUUUGAACUUGAGGUUGUGGUGUUUUUGAACUCGAGUUUUUGUGUUUGUUGAACUUCAGUUUGUGUCGUGUUUGAACUUGAGUUUGUGGUGUUUUUUGAACUUGAGGUUGUGGUGUUUUUGAACUUGAGUUUGUGGCGGUUUUUGAACUUGAGGUUGUUGCAAUUGUUGAACUUGAAAUAAAAACCCAAAUAUGAACCCAAAUAUAUAUUUUUUCUUUUUACAUUUUUUUGGUGUAACCAACUCCAAAAGGUCUUAAACAUGUUCCUAAAAAAAUUUUGGACAGUGAUUUUAAACCUAACGCCUAAAACCUUAAACCUUACCCUAGCCCCAUAACCUAAUACCCGGGUAUUAACUUCAGGAAGCCCAAAAACCCCAAAUAUUUUUUUUUCAUUGUUCGUUUUUUUUUUGGUCUAACUAACACCAAAAGGUUGGAAAAGAGGUCCUACAAAGGUUUUGGACAGUGAUUUUAACACUCACGUCAAAAACCUUAAACCUUACUAUAGCCCCAUGACCUAAUACCCGGGUAUUACCUUCAGAAGCCCAAAAACCCCAAAUAUUUUUUUUAUUUUUCGUUAGUUUUUGCUCUAUCUAACUCCAAAAGGUUGGAAAAGAGUUCCUACAAAGGUUUUGGACAGUGAUUUUAACCCUAACGCCAAAAACCUUAAACCUUACCCUAGCCCCAUAACCUCAUACCCGGUUAUUUCCUUAAGGAAGCCCGAAGACCCCAAAUAUAUUUUUUUCAUUUUUUUUUUUUUGGUCUAACUUGCUCUCAAAGGUUGGAAAAGAGUUCCUACAAAGGUUUUGGACAUUGAUUUUAACCCUAACGCCAAAAAACUUAAAGCAUUACCCUAGCCCAGAAACCUAGUAUUACCUUCAGGAAGCCCGAACACCCAAAAAAAAUUCUUUUUCUUUUUACAUUUUUUUUGGUGUAACCAACUCCAAAAGGUCUGAAACAUGUUCCUAAAAAGGUUUUGGACAUUGAUUUUAACCCUAACACCAAAAAACCUUAAACCUUACCCUAGCCCCAUAACCUAAUACGGGUAUUUCCUUCAGGAAGCCCGAAGACCCCAAAUAUGUUUUUUUCUUUUUUCUUUUUUUUUGGUCUAACGAACUCCAAAAGGUUGGAAAAGAGUUCCUACAAAGGUUUUGGACAGUGAUUUUAACCCUAACACCAAAAACCUUAAACCUUACCCUAGCCCCAAAACCUAAUACCCGGGUAUUACCUUCAGGAAGCCUGAACACCCCAAAUAUAUUUUUUUUCAUUUCACAUUUUUUUUUGGUGUAACAAACUCCAAAAGGUCUUAAACAUGUUCCUAAAAAGGUUUUGGUCAGUGAUUUUAACCCUAACGCCAAAAACCUUUAACCUUACUAUAGCCCCAUAACCAAAUACCCGGGUAUUACCUUCAGGAAACCCGAACACCCCAAAUAUUUUUUUUCAUUUUUCGUUUUUUUUUGGUGUAACUAACUCCAAAAGGUUGGAAAAUAGUUCCUACAAAGGUUUUGGACAGUGAUUUUAACCCUAACGCCAAAAACCUUAAACCUUACUAUAGCCCCAUAACCUAAUACCCAGGUAUUACCUUCAGGAAGCUUGAACACCCCAAAUAUUUUUUUUUCAUUUUACAUUUUUUUUGGUGUAACCUACUCCAAAAGGUCUGAAACAUGUUCCUAAAAAGGUUUUGGACAUUGAUUUUAACCCUAACACCAAAAAACCUUAAACCUUACCCUAGCCCCAUAACCUAAUACCCGGUUAUUUCCUUCAGGAAGCCCGAAGACCCCAAAUAUAUUUUUUUCUUUUUUCUUUUUUUUUUGGUCUAACUAACUCCAAAAGGUUGGAAAAGAGUUCCUACAAAGGUUUUGGACAGUGAUUUUAACCCUAACACCAAAAACCUUAAACCUUACCCUAGCCCCAAAACCUAAUACCCGGGUAUUACCUUCAGGAAGCCCGAACACCCAAAAAAAUUUUUUUUUCAUUUUGCAUUUUUUUUGGUGUAACCAACUCCAAAAGGUCUGAAACAUGUUCCUAAAAAGGUUUUGGACAGUGAUUUUAACCCUUACGCCAAACACCUUAAACCUUACCCUAGCCCCAUAACCUAAUACCCGGGUAUUACCUUCAGGAAGCCCGAACACCCCAAAUAUUUUUUUUUCAUUUAUCUCUUUUUUUUUUGUCUAACUAAUUCCCAAAGGUUGGAAAAGAGUUCCUACAAAGGUUUUGGACAGUGAUUUUUACCCUCACGCCGAAAAACCUUAAACCUUACCCUAGCCCCAUAACCUAAUACCCGGGUAUUACCUUCAGGAAGCCCGAACACCCCAAAUAUAUAUUUUUUAUUUUUCUAUUUGUUUUGGUCUAACUUGCUCUCAAAGGUUGGAAAAGAGUUCCUACAAAGGAUUUGGACAUUGAUUUCAACCCUAACGCCAAAAAACUUAAACAUUACCCUAGCCCAGAAACCUAGGAUUACCUUCAGGAAGCCCGAACACCCAAAAUAAAUUUUUUUUCAUUUUACAUUUUUUUUGGUGUAACCAACUCCAAAAGGUCUGAAACAUGUUCCUAAAAAGGUUUUGGACAGUGAUUUUAACCCUUACGCCAAAAACCUUAAACCUUACCCUAGCCCCAUAACCUAAUACCCGGGUAUUACCUUCAGGAAGCCCGAACACCCCAAAUAUUUUUUUUUUCAUUUAUCUUUUUUUUUUUUUUUGUCUAACUAACUCCAAAAGGUUGGAAAAUAGUUCCUACAAAGGUUUUGGACAGUGAUUUUAACCCUAACGCCAAAAACCUUAAACCUUACUAUAGCCCCAUAACCUAAUACCCGGGUAUUACCUUCAGGAAGCUUGAACACCCCAAAUAUUUUUUUUUCAUUUUACAUUUUUUUUUUGGUGUAACCUACUCCAAAAGGUCUGAAACAUGUUCCUAAAAAGGUUUUGGACAUUGAUUUUAACCCUAACGCCAAAAACCUUAAACCUUACCCUAGCCCCAUAACCUAAUACCUGGGUAUUUCCUUCAGGAAGCCCGAAGACCCCAAAUAUAUUUUUUUCUUUUUUCUUUUUUUGGUCUAACUAACUCCCAAAGGUCUGAAACAUGUUCCUUAAAAAAUAUUGGACAGUUAUUUUAACCCUAACGCCAAAAACCUUAAACCUAACCCUAGCCCCAAAACCUAAUUACCUUACCUUCAGGAAGCCCGAACACCCCAAAUAUUUUUUUUUCAUUUUACAUUUUUUUUUGGUGUAACCAACUCUAAAAGGUCUUAAACAUGUUCCUAAAAAGGUUUUGGACACUGAUUUUAACUCUAACACCAAAAACCUUAAACCUUACCCUAGCCCCAUAACCUAAUACCCGGGUAUUACCUUCAGGAAACCCGAACACCCCAAAUAUAUAUUUUUUUCUUUUUUUUUUUUUUUGUCUAACUAACUCCCAAAGGUCUGAAACAUGUUCCUUAAAAAAUAUUGGACAGUUAUUUUAACCCUAACGCCAAAAACCUUAAACCUAACCCUAGCCCCAAAACCUAAUACCCGGGUAUUACCUUCAGGAAGCCCGAACACCCCAAAUAUUUUUUUUUCAUUUAUCUUAUUUUUUUUUGUCUAACUUAUUCCCAAAGGUUGGAAAAGAGUUCCUACAAAGGUUUGGGACAGUGAUUUUUACCCUCACGCCGAAAAACCUUAAACCUUACCCUAGCCCCAUAACCUAAUACCCGGGUAUUACCUUCAGGAAGCCCGAACACCCCAAAUAUAUAUUUUUUAUUUUUCUUUUUGUUUUGGUCUAACUUGCUCUCAAAGGUUGGAAAAGAGUUCCUACAAAGGUUUUGGACAUUGAUUUUAACCCUAACGCCAAAAACCUAAAAUAUUACCCUAGCCCAGAAACCUAGUAUUACCUUCAGGAAGCCCGAACACCCAAAAAAAAUUCUUUUUCAUUUUACAUUUUUUUUGGUGUAACCAACUCCAAAAGGUCUGAAACAUGUUCCUAAAAAGGUUUUGGACAGUGAUUUUAACCCUUACGCCAAAAACCUUAAACCUUACCCUAGCCCCAUAACCUAAUACCUUGGUAUUACCUUCAGGAAGCCCGAACACCCCAAAUAUUUUUUUUCAUUUUUCGUUUUUUUUUGGUCUAACUAACUCCAAAAGGUUGGAAAAUAGUUCCUACAAAGGUUUUGGACAGUGAUUUUAACCCUAACGCCAAAAACCUUAAACCUUACCCUAGCCCCAUAACCUAAUACCCGGGUAUUACCUUCAGGAAGCCCGAACACCCCAAAUAUAUUUUUUUCAUUUUUUUUUUUUUUUUGGUCUAACUAACUCCAAAAGGUCGGAAAAGCAUUCCUACAAAGGUUUUGGACGGUGAUUUUAACCCUAACGCCAAAAACCUUAAACCUAACCCUAGCCCCAAAACCUAAUACCCGGGUAUUACCUUCAGGAAGCCCGAACACCCCAAAUAUUUUUUUUUCAUUUAUCUUAUUUUUUUUUGUCUAACUUAUUCCCAAAGGUUGGAAAAGAGUUCCUACAAAGGUUUUGGACAGUGAUUUUAACCCUUACGCCAAAAACCUUAAACCUUACCCUAGCCCCAUAACCUAAUACCUUGGUAUUACCUUCAGGAAGCCCGAACACCCCAAAUAUUUUUUUUCAUUUUUCGUUUUUUUUUGGUCUAACUAACUCCAAAAGGUUGGAAAAUAGUUCCUACAAAGGUUUUGGACAGUGAUUUUGACCCUUACGCCAAAAACCUUAAACCUUACCCUAGCCCCAUAACCUAAUACCUUGGUAUUACCUUCAGGAAGCCCGAACACCCCAAAUAUUUUUUUUCAUUUUUCGUUUUUUUUUGGUCUAACUAACUCCAAAAGGUUGGAAAAUAGUUCCUACAAAGGUUUUGGACAGUGAUUUUAACCCUAACGCCAAAAACCUUAAACCUUACUAUAGCCCCAUAACCUAAUACCCGGGUAUUACCUUCAGGAAGCUUGAACACCCCAAAUAUUUCUUUUUCAUUUUACAUUUUUUUUUGGUGUUACCAACUCCAAAAGGUCUGAAACAUGUUCCUAAAAAGGUUUUGGACAGUGAUUUUAACCCUAAAACCAAAAACCUUAAACCUUACCCUUGCCCCAUAACCUAAUACCUGGGUAUUACCUUCAGGAAGCCCGAAGACCCCAAAUAUAUUUUUUUCAUUUUAUUUUUUUUUUUUUGGUCUAACUAACUCCAAAAGGUCGGAAAAGCAUUUCUACAAAGGUUUUGGACGGUGAUUUUAACCCUAACGCCAAAAACAUUAAACCUAAUCCUAGCCCCAAAACCUAAUACCCGGGUAUUACCUUCAGGAAGCCCGAACACCCCAAAUUUUUUUUUUCUUUUUUUUUUUUUUUUGUCUAACUAACUCCAAAAGGUUGGAAAAUAGUUCCUACAAAGGUUUUGGACAGUGAUUUUAACCCUAACGCCAAAAACCUUAAACCUUACUAUAGCCCCAUAACCUAAUACCCGGGAAUAACCUUCAGGAAGCUUGAACACCCCAAAUAUUUUUUUUUCAUUUUACAAUUUUUUUUGGUCUAACUAACUCCAAAAGGUCUGAAACAUGUUCCUAAAAAGGUUUUGGACAGUGAUUUUAACCCUUACGCCAAAAACCUUAAACCUUACCCUAGCCCCAUAACCUAAUACCCGGGUAUUACCUUCAGGAAACCCGAACACCCCAAAUAUUUUUUUUUUCUUUUUCUUUUUUUUUUUGUCUAACUAACUCCCAAAGGUCUGAAACAUGUUCCUUAAAAAAAAUUGGACAGUUAUUUUAACCCUAACGCCAAAAACCUUAAACCUAACCCUAGCCCCAAAACCUAAUACUUCAGGAAGCUUGAACACCCCAAAUAUUUUUUUUUCAUUUUACAUUUUUUUGGGUGUUACCAACUCCAAAAGGUCUGAAACAUGUUCCUAAAAAGGUUUUGGACAGUGAUUUUAGCCCGAACACCCCAAAUAUUUUUUUUCAUUUUUCGUUUUUUUUUGGUCUAACUAACUCCAAAAGGUUGGAAAAUAGUUCCUACAAAGGUUUUGGACAGUGAUUUUAACCCUAACGCCAAAAACCUUAAACCUUACUAUAGCCCCAUAACCUAAUACCCGGGUAUUACCUUCAGGAAGCUUGAACACCCCAAAUAUUUUUUUUUCAUUUUACAUUUUUUUUGGUGUUACCAACUCCAAAAGGUCUGAAACAUGUUCCUAAAAAGGUUUUGGACAGUGAUUUUAACCCUAACACCAAAAACCUUAAACCUUACCCUUGCCCCAUAACCUAUUACCUGGGUAUUUUCUUCAGGAAGCCCGAACACCCCAAAUAUAUAUUUUUUAUUAUUCUUUUUUUUUUUUUGGUCUAACUAACUCCAAAAGGUCGGAAAAACAUUCCUACAAAGGUUUUGGACAGUGAUUUUAACCCUAACGCCAAAAACCUUAAACCUUACACUAGCCCCAAAACCUAAUACCCGGGUAUUACCUUCAGGAAACCCGAACACCCCAAAUAUAUUUUUUUCUUUUUCUUUUUUUUUUGUCUAACUAACUCCCAAAGGUCUGAAACAUGUUCCUUUAAAAAUAUUGGACAGUUAUUUUAACCCUAACGCCAAAAACCUUAAACCUAACCCUAGCCCCAAAACCUAAU